GCUGGGAUGAAGCUAAGUGGCAAAGUGUUUGUCUUGCAUUCAUAAAGCCCUGGGUUCUAUCCUCAGUUCCAAAA
rnacentral:tRNA from 1 species